UUCCUACGGGGGGCAGCAGUGGGGAAUAUUGCACAAUGGGGGAAACCCUGAUGCAGCAACGCCGCGUGAAGGAAGACGGUUUUCGGAUUGUAAACUUCUGUUCUUAGUGAAGAAGAAUGACGGUAGCUAAGGAGCAAGCCACGGCUAACUACGUGCCAGCAGCCGCGGUAAUACGUAGGUGGCAAGCGUUGUCCGGAUUUACUGGGUGUAAAGGGCGUGUAGCCGGGCUGACAAGUCAGAUGUGAAAUCCGGGGGCUCA
rnacentral:rRNA from 1 species